rnacentral:misc_RNA from 1 species
AACACUGUUAACCUGCGGUACCUGCGGAAGGAUCAUUACGAGAGUGUCACCACUCCCAACCCAUUGUCUACCUACCUGUGGAAACGUGCUCCGGCAGGCAGCCCUGUGGGACAGAGCCUCGCCCCCCGCACGGGGGGUGCCUGCCGGCGGCCGACACAUAACUCUUGCUGUAUUGUACCGUCUGAGUCUUCUGAAAAUGAACAAAACUUUUAGCAAUGGAUCUCAGAUCGGAAGAGCACA